rnacentral:rRNA from 1 species
CCUACGGGCGGCUGCAGUAGGGAAUCUUCCACAAUGGACGAAAGUCUGAAGGAGCAACGCCGCGUGAGUGAAGAAGGGUUUCGGCUCGUUAAGCUCCUUUUGUAUUGGAGUAAGACAGAGGAAGUAUCUCGCCUUUUAUUGACGUUAAUUACUAAGAAAGUCACAGCUCACUCCGUGCCAGCAGCCGCGUUAAUACGUAGGUGGCAAGCGUUGUCCGGAUUUAUUUGGCGUAAAGCGAGUGCGGGCGGUUAGAUAAGUCUGAUGUGAAAGCUUUCGGCUCAACCGGAGAAUUGCAGCCGAAACUGGUGAACUUGAGUGCAGUAGAGGAGAGUGGAACGCGAUGUGUAGCGGUGGAAUGCGUAGAUAUAUGGAAGAACACC